GCAUUGUUAGCUCAGAUUGGUAGAGCGCUCCACUGAAAAUAUAUAGGUCCCGGGUUCGAUACCCGCACCAGGCG
rnacentral:tRNA from 1 species